rnacentral:rRNA from 1 species
GAUGAACGCUGGCGGCGUGCCUAAUACAUGCAAGUCGAGCGAACAGACGAGGAGCUUGCUCCUCUGACGUUAGCGGCGGACGUGUGAGUAACACGUGGAUAACCUACCUAUAAGACUGGGAUAACUUCGGGAAACCGGAGCUAAUACCGGAUAAUAUAUUGAACCGCAUGGUUCAAUAGUGAAAUACGGUUUUGCUGUCACUUAUAGAUGGAUCCGCGCCGCAUUAGCUAGUUGGUAAGGUAACGGCUUACCAAGGCAACGAUGCGUAGCCGACCUGAGAGGGUGAUCGGCCACACUGGAACUGAGACACGGUCCAGACUCCUACGGGAGGCAGCAGUAGGGAAUCUUCCGCAAUGGGCGAAAGCCUGACGGAGCAACGCCGCGUGAGUGAUGAAGGUCUUCGGAUCGUAAAACUCUGUUAUUAGGGAAGAACAAAUGUGUAAGUAACUAUGCACGUCUUGACGGUACCUAAUCAGAAAGCCACGGCUAACUACGUG